ACCCUUUUGAAAGGAUUUUCAUUUUAUCAUCUCUGCCCCUUCAACAGAAGGAAGAGAACAUUCAUAUGCUAGUCACAGGAUCAAACAUAUGGCGACUUUUGGAGAUACUUGUUUUCCAGCUGUUAUUGCUCUCUGUGGAGUCCAGAAUGGACACAAGUGGAUAUGAAAAAUUCCACAAAUUGUAUCUGAAAUGCCAGUCAAGAGCUAAUGUUGGAUUCUGCUUUGGUGAAAGUCCAGCUUUGGAGAGGAUUGUUUGCCAUUAACUUCACAGAGAGUCUGUCUUGUGGAUGUGUAUAUUUGGAAAGUGGUAUUCACAUAAGGACUGAUUCAGAAGUCAGAUGAAGCCGGCCAUCAUUGGAUAGAUUAUCAACAUAACUUUGAGAUGCCUUUCAAGAGCACUCCUGAAAACAUGAUGCCAAGGAAUCAUGGAAGAAUCACAUAGCUUCACAGAAUUUCUGAGCGAGAAGGGAGCUUAGGAGCCAUCUAGCCUAAUUCCUUCUGAAACUGGUAACUGGUUAUCCAAAUUCUCAAUUUCAUCUAGUGAUUCUGAUCUGUUCCACACAGGUUAGUUCUGAUAGGGCCUUGUAUAAAUCUCUAAUUAUUGCUUCUAGGUUAGUCAUAUUUUAAUACUGUUGGUUCUGGCCAUCGUAUGACCUAUGGAGCAAGCAUCCCUUCCCUAAGAGAACAUGCCCUGGCCAGGUAGUGCAAAAGAACCCAACCUAUGGUGAGUUGGUUUGCUAGCAUCUUCCACUUUGCCUCUUCCCAUCUAAAGACAUAAUGACUUUUUAGCUAUGGAAGCUUCUUCUCCCUGCAAAGAAUACCAGUGCUUUCCUAGGUGGGCAAUAAUUCUUCUGGUAUCUCUUAAAUGAUGAACUACUAAUCUUCUAACCCUCCCCCUCCCCCUGCCAAGUUCUUGUCUCUACUGUGCAAAAGGGAAAAAUGAAAGGGAGCCAAAAUGUUAAACCUCCCCAAAGCAUACACCGAAUACUUUGGAAACAAUUCCUUUUAAAUAAAAUGCAUAUGUGGUUCCCUAUUUAGUAUGCA
ensembl:lncRNA